GACGAACGCUGGCGGCGUGCUUAACACAUGCAAGUCGAACGGAAAGGCCCUGCUUUUGUGGGGUGCUCGAGUGGCGAACGGGUGAGUAACACGUGAGUAACCUGCCCUUUACUUUGGGAUAACUUCAGGAAACUGGGGCUAAUACCGGAUAGGAGCUCCUGCUGCAUGGUGGGGGUUGGAAAGUUUCGGCGGUUGGGGACGGACUCGCGGCUUAUCAGCUUGUUGGUGGGGUAGUGGCUUACCAAGGCUUUGACGGGUAGCCGGCCUGAGAGGGUGACCGGCCACAUUGGGACUGAGAUACGGCCCAGACUCCUACGGGAGGCAGCAGUGGGGAAUAUUGAACAAUGGGCGGAAGCCUGAUGCAGCAACGCCGCGUGCGGGAUGACGGCCUUCGGGUUGUAAACCGCUUUCGCCUGUGACGAAGCGUGAGUGACGGUAAUGGGUAAAGAAGCACCGGCUAACUACGUG
rnacentral:rRNA from 1 species